rfam:Apaloderma vittatum contig62570, whole genome shotgun sequence.
GGGUCGGUGAGCUCAGUGGUUUGAGCACGGUGCUGACAACAAGGACCAACACUGAAGUCGCGGGUUCGAUUCCCGCUCAGUCUC